rnacentral:tRNA from 1 species
GCCUCGGUAGCUCAGUUGGCAGAGCGCGUGCCUUUUAAGCCCGUGGCCGCGGGUUCGAGCCCCGCUCGAGGUG